GGGAGCAAAUAAAGAAGAAACUUGAUCCCCCAAAGACCUCAGGCAGAUGUCGGAAGUUCAUCAGAACUCUUAUGAAAUGUUUUACUCGGCUGAAGAAGAAAAUGUCAGGAGCAGGAAAAGAAAAAACAUUGGCCAACAAUACAGAAAGGGUGGAGAAAGAGGAUAAAGCCCAAAACGAAGAGGCUGAAACACCCACACCCAGUCUUUCCCUAACCAGACUGCAGC